UGAACAUUUGCUUCCCUUCAGCCAGUAGAGCUAAAGAGAGAUUAAAGGAACAAUAGAUUCCUUUAAAGGUUAUAAUAAUAAUAAUGAAAUUGACUAUUUAGUAGAUCUAACCCAAACAGAUGCAUGCAGCUAUAUUUUAUUGGGGAUAGAUCAAAAAAACGCUGAAGACAGACUUUGAACUCCUAGAAGAAAGCCUCUCUUGACAGCCAGGGUGACGUUUACUUUUUAUGAACUGUCAGUAAAAUGAG